rnacentral:rRNA from 1 species
GGUGGGGAGACUACCAUGCAGUCGAACGGUAACAGGAAGCAGCUUGCUGCUUCGCUGACGAGUGGCGGACGGGUGAGUAAUGUCUGGGAAACUGCCUGAUGGAGGGGGAUAACUACUGGAAACGGUAGCUAAUACCGCAUAACGUCGCAAGACCAAAGAGGGGGACCUUCGGGCCUCUUGCCAUCGGAUGUGCCCAGAUGGGAUUAGCUAGUAGGUGGGGUAACGGCUCACCUAGGCGACGAUCCCUAGCUGGUCUGAGAGGAUGACCAGCCACACUGGAACUGAGACACGGUCCAGACUCCUACGGGAGGCAGCAGUGGGGAAUAUUGCACAAUGGGCGCAAGCCUGAUGCAGCCAUGCCGCGUGUAUGAAGAAGGCCUUCGGGUUGUAAAGUACUUUCAGCGGGGAGGAAGGGAGUAAAGUUAAUACCUUUGCUCAUUGACGUUACCCGCAGAAGAAGCACCGGCUAACUCCGUGCCAGCAGCCGCGGUAAUACGGAGGGUGCAAGCGUUAAUCGGAAUUACUGGGCGUAAAGCGCACGCAGGCGGUUUGUUAAGUCAGAUGUGAAAUCCCCGGGCUCAACCUGGGAACUGCAUCUGA